CUGUGCUCUCAGGACCUGCUCCACACAGUGGGAAAAGGAACCCCAAGAGAGAUCCAGGAGCUGGUGGAGAUGCUCAUCUCUGCAUGGAUAGGACUUCUGUAGGGUCUGCUGCUUCUCCUGGGGAAGCAGAGACCCAUGGAGCAGCCGUGGGUCCUUGUGCUUUUUUUCCUGGGCUGGCACAGGGAGUUGACAGGUUUGGUGUGUGCUGUAGUUCAUCACCUCAAACAUGUCCCUCGCUUCCCCACUACAGCCACCCUUUUCCUGCCAUCCUGAGGCAGGUAGGGACAAGGCAGGGUGCUGUCACUUGGGCAGCAGCUGGGGCCGGGUUCAGCUGCCCUGUUGGUGCUGGAGCCCCUCUACGUGUUGGAGACCCACAUAGCUCCCAGGAGCAUGUUGAAGGCUGGGCUGGGAACGUGCAGCUUGGCCCACGGGCUGGAGCCUCCCCUCUCUGCUGGCAGACAGGCUAAAAUAGGAGUCGAAACGCUCGGUGCUCCUGGAAAGAAAAAUAAACUCCCAGGCAAGUGCCAAGUGCAGCAACCAUUUUGGCACGAGUACCAUCCUGCAGGGAGCGGGGAUGACAGUCUCAGGGUUGAUGGGAACAUCCAUAAGUGGAAGCAGCCCCAGCCCAGGUUAUCUGCUCCCACGGCCCCUGGCAGCAGGCAGGCGCCGGCUGUGCGGCCGGAGGCACCCUGCCCACGGCGAGCGCCUUGCCUCCUCCCCAUGAUGUCUCUUUGCCACUCUGAGUGUAAGCACACGCACGUCUUACAGCUCUGACGUUAUUCUCCUCUGGUUGAUGUGAAAGGACUCAAAAAUGUCCAUGUUAGGGUUUUUAUAUUUUGCGAGUCAGACAGAAAAUCUCUUCAUGGUCAGUGAUGAGCAGCUUAUGGGAAACAUGAACAACGCUUCCAGGAAUUCCUCUUAUUGCUGCCUGUGUUUAAAAUCUAAAGUUAGAAGGAGAAGGGGUGAAAAAAUAAAGUUUGGUAGGCUGAAUUCCAGUCGGGUGCUAUGAGACAGUCUGCGCAGCUCUCCCUGUAUGGCUGCAGAGCUCAGAGCAUGCAAGUGGGCUCGGGCAGUCUGGCUGGGUGUAGAUCUGAUUUGGAGCAACCUCCUGCUCCCCUGCCAAGAAGCUGCUGAUCCUCUCGAAGGGAUCAGUCUUCCCUGGAGCCCAGAAAGAAGCAGCAAGUGCACCCAGAGGCCAACCUGCCGUGGGCAUCCCUGUGGGGUGCAUCCUCAGCCAGGGCUGCU